ensembl:lncRNA
GUGAGAACAACGGAGCUAAAGCGAACAAAUCCCUCUGGGCGCCUGGCCUCUCUAGUCAGCCUGCCGGCGUCAGGGCGCCCUCUGCCUUAACCUCCGUCCCCCUCCUCUCACAGUGGUUCCUCAUUCUAAUCACCGCACACCUAGGCCCGCUUUGAUCCACUCUCAGCCACCAUGCGUGGGGGGCGCGCAGCAGGAACUCUUAUCCUCACUUAACAGAUGAGGAAACUGAGGCCCAGAAAGGGCCAAACACAGUCCUUAAUUCUCCUUUACCCCAAGGCCCACACGAAUCCAUUUCUAGUCACCUCCUCAUGUGUGGUGCAUUCCUGGAGGAAUUUUCUGGACUUGAAUGGCCACGAAUAGCUAACGGUCCUGCUCAGCACUUUGCCCUGUCACCAUCGGGGCUGGAUCUGGUGCUUCACUUCCACGUUCACACCCAUGGCUACUGCUUUGCUCCUAAUGACCCCUCUCCUGGUGACAUGAAUCUGUGGCCCCCGUGGCAUUCUGACAAUGUGAUGACCCUAAGCUGCUUCCUGCUCUGGCUCUGCCCAAGUCCAGCCUGGAGGCUCUCGGUAGCCCCAGUCAGUCCCACCUACCCAGUUGGCCUUAAGAUGGAAAAACUGAGGUACAUGAAGUCAACAACAGAAGACUAGAACCUCAGUUUCCUGAUCCUGAGUUAGACAUACUUUCCUAAGGCGUUGUACAAAAAUCACUAUGGGGAUGGGGUUAACAAUAAUAAAAAGAAGCCUCCUUGAG